UGCUGGGUUUAUUCCGUUAACGAACGAGACCUCAGCCUUGCUAACUAGUCACAGUAGUCUCGACUGCUGGCUCGGCUUCUUAGAGGGACUGAUCGAGUUUAACGAAUGGAAGUUUGAGGCAAUAACAGGUCUGUGAUGCCCUUAGAUGUUCUGGGCCGCACGCGCGGCUACACUGAUGGAUGCAACGAGCUCUACCCCUGACCGAAAGGCCCGGGUAAACUUGUCAAAAUCCAUCGUGAUGGGGAUAGAUUAUUGCAAUUCUUGAUCUUCAACGAGGAAUUCCUAGUAAGCGCGAGUCAUCAGCUCGCGUUGAUUACGUCCCUGCCCUUUGUACACACCGCCCGUCGCUCCUACCGAUUGAAUGGUCCGGCGAAAUCUUCAGAUUGCUGGCGAGGCUAACCCCUCGCUGUGAGAAGUUGAUUAAACCUUAUCAUUUAGAGGAAGGAGAAGUCGUAACAAGGUUUCCGUAGGUGAACCUGCAGAAGGAUCAAUCCAUAUGACUAGUAGAUCCUCUAGAGUCGACCUGCAGGCAUGCAAGCUUUCCCUAU
rnacentral:rRNA from 1 species